AAAUUGAAGAGUUUGAUCAUGGCUCAGAUUGAACGCUGGCGGCAGGCCUAACACAUGCAAGUCGAACGGUAACAGGAAGCAGCUUGCUGCUUCGCUGACGAGUGGCGGACGGGUGAGUAAUGUCUGGGAAACUGCCUGAUGGAGGGGGAUAACUACUGGAAACGGUGGUUAAUACCGCAUAACGUCGCAAGACCAAAGAGGGGGACCUUCGGGCCUCUUGCCAUCAGAUGUGCCCAGAUGGGAUUAGCUUGUUGGUGAGGUAACGGCUCACCAAGGCGACGAUCCCUAGCUGGUCUGAGAGGAUGACCAGCCACACUGGAACUGAGACACGGUCCAGACUCCUACGGGAGGCAGCAGUGGGGAAUAUUGCACAAUGGGCGCAAGCCUGAUGCAGCCAUGCCGCGUGUAUGAAGAAGGCCUUCGGGUUGUAAAGUACUUUCAGCGGGGAGGAAGGUGUUGUGGUUAAUAACC
rnacentral:rRNA from 1 species